CUUCUCAGGGGUCAGCCCGCUCUUCACUCGACGGUGAUCAAUACUCGACGCGGCUCGGACCACCUCCUGUGCCCCUGGACUCCGCCCUAAGGGUCCUCUGGCGUCUGUGACGGCGCGGGUCCCGGCCUCUUCAGUCGGCUCAGGCCAGCGCUUCACGGGUCCCUGCAGUCCCUCCCCCGUCCCCUCCCCCCCGGCACUUUCUCUAACCGAGGAAGGAGCGGAGAGGAACUUGGCUGAAUCAAGGGAACUGCGAGCCUAUGGAUGAGUUUUAAACCCGAGAGCCAAUUAAAUAUUAUUGGAACCUACUGACGAGGGGCGCUGCCACCCCAGCCGGGACCCUGCGCCUCCCCGCCCCCGAUUCUCCUCAGGACGCGCAAGUCGGCCCCUCCCCACCCACGCCGGGCCGAGCAAGCCGAGCGGAGGGCAGGGGCGAGACGAAGGGCCCAAGUUCCCCGGACUAAGACGCCGCGCGCAGCUCUUGCUACACAUCAGCUGCGGCUCUGGGAAAACGCCUGCGCCUCAAAGGUUGGUCUCGCGCCGCAGCCCGGGACGGGUACAGGGCCCGUACCCUCUUACCUGACGCGCGGCCCCGAGGACGGACUGGGCUUCCGCCCGCCGGGUACAUCCCCAGGGCGGCGUGAAGGCCGUGGGCGGGGUCGGCGGUCGCACCGCCCUCCCCGCGGGCUCCGGGGCUGCUCAGCGCCAGCGGAGGGAAGAGACCCCCCAGCCGGGAGUUCGGCCUCCGCGGGCACCGGGUCCACUCCGGGCGGCGGGGACGGGGCCGCUCGGCCCUCAAUCACUCGAGGCGGGAGGUGGGGGUACCGGGGAGCGGGAAGGGGGAGCGGGGUGCCGGCGGGCGGCGGGGGACGGCUUCUCAGCCGAGUUCCCACCUUCUGAGGAAACCCGCGCUCCCCCUGGCCUGGGCGCGAGCGCCCCCUGGAGGCCCCGGCGGAGGGCGCGGCCUGGAGCGGAGCGCGCCGCCCCUCCCCGCCCGCAGAGCGUGUGCCCGGACUUGGGGGCUCCCGCCGCGGGCGGCCGCAGCCCCGCUUCCACGCCUGGGCCCGUCGCUCACCCCGGGCGCCUAGGGACACGUCACCCUGAGGACCUCCUCUCCACUUCGGGGUAAAGCGGGAAUAUCUGGAAGGCGGUGGGAGCGAUGCUUCACACAUUGUAGGAAACGUCUUGGAUGGAUGCCCAACUGCCACCAAAACCGGUGAGAGUAUCUCUCACCUCUGCAUCUUCGGUGUCUACAAGAGCGCCUGGCACAUGGCCUCUCACUGUUGCUGCCUCUCCCGUUGCGAAGCACAGGCUCCGG